rnacentral:rRNA from 1 species
GAUGAACGCUAGCGGCAGGCUUAAUACAUGCAAGUCGUGGGGCAGCAUGAUGUAGCAAUACAUUGAUGGCGACCGGCAAACGGGUGCGGAACACGUACACAACCUUCCUUUUAGUGGGGAAUAGCCCAGAGAAAUUUGGAUUAAUACCCCAUAACAUAUAGAGAUGGCAUCAUCUUAAUAUUAAAGCUUCGGCGCUAGAAGAUGGGUGUGCGGCUGAUUAGGUAGUUGGCGGGGUAACGGCCCACCAAGCCUACGAUCAGUAGCUGAUGUGAGAGCAUGAUCAGCCACCCGGGCACUGAGACACGGGCCCGACUCCUACGGGAGGCAGCAGUAAGGAAUAUUGGACAAUGGACGAAAGUCUGAUCCAGCCAUGCCGCGUGAAGGAUUAAGGUCCUCUGGAUUGUAAACUUCUUUUAUUUGGGACGAAAAAAGAUCAUUCUUGAUUACUUGACGGUACCAGAUGAAUAAGCACCGGCUAACUCCGUGCCAGCCGCCGCAGUAAGAC